rnacentral:tRNA from 2 species
GAGAGCGGGGGGGCGGAUGUAGCCAAGUGGAUCAAGGCAGUGGAUUUGUGA